GACGAACGCUGGCGGCGUGCUUAACACAUGCAAGUCGAACGGAAAGGCCCUGCUUUUGUGGGGUGCUCGAGUGGCGAACGGGUGAGUAACACGUGAGUAACCUGCCCUUGACUUUGGGAUAACUUCAGGAGACUGGGGCUAAUACAGGAUAGGAGCUCCUGAUGCAUGGUGGGGGUUGGAAAGUUUCGGCGGUUGGGGCUGGACUCGCGGCUUAUCAGCUUGUUGGUGGGGUAGUGGCUUACCAAGGCUGUGACGGGUAGCCGGCCUGAGAGGGUGACCGGCGACAUUGGGACCGAGAUACGGCGCAGACUCCUACGGGAGGCAGCAGUGGGGAAUAUUGCACAAUGGGCGGAAGCCUGAUGCAGCAACGCCGCGUGCGGGAUGACGGCUUUCGGGUUGUAAACCGCUGUCGCCUGAGACGAAGCGUGAUUGACGGUAAUGGGUAAAGAAGCACCGGCUAACUACGUG
rnacentral:rRNA from 1 species